rnacentral:lncRNA from 1 species
CUGCCAUGCAUAUCUCUUAGCCACAUGUUCAACAUGUAAACAUAUUACCCCCAAAAUCAAAUCUGCUAAAAUAAAUCUUUUGUGCAUUAUGGAAAACUUCAAACAUAUACAAAAGUCAAGGAGCCACCAAUGUUCAGGCACUCAUUAUCCUCAACUCAUGGCCAAUCCCACUUCGUCCAUCCCUAGCCAUAUAUUUUGAAGCAAACCUCAGAGAUGGUAUCAUGUCAUCUGCAAAUGUCACUGCGCUUCUAAAGACUGAGAAUGCUCUUUUACAACAUGGUACUGGGAUCACAACUCUGGUAAAAAGUAAUGAUGAUUCCUUAAUAUCAUCAAAAAGCCAAUCAGUGUUCAAUUUUUUUUUUUAGCAGCAUCCAGUCUGAUACAUCAGGGUUGGGAUUUGCACCUUGCAAAUUGUUUUAGGAAACAGCCGGAGGCUGUCCGGGUGAAUGAUUCCAUCCCUCCGUUUUCUUCACAGACAGGAACGUCAUAGCCAAACCCACAGUGGGUUUUGCCAAGAACUCCAAAAAAGACAAUCACGUGUCAAAUAACCAUGGAGACGCGGUUACAAAAGGAACACUUAUUCCUUGCUCCCUUGUUUAGCUGCUGAGCACUGAUGCAGGAGGCAGGCACCGCCUGGGGCUGCACACACCUGACGGUGUGCUCCUGGUCAGCUCCGCCUGAGCCUGCAAGGACUCGUCCAGCUGCUGUCAGUGUCAGCGCCGGGGAUUAGCGUGCCCUCCUGGGGGAGUCCAGCUGACCGCAGCGCUGGAAGAAUCGGAAUCUCCAGACUGUCCUUGUUAGUUUCUUCUAAUGGUUCAGCAGCAGUUUGAUAUGAAUCCAGCAGAGGACUUAUCUGAGCAGCUGUUGGGGGUAAACAACACCCCCCAGGCCAACAAUACAUUCCUGAUGAAAGCACCACAGGAGGAGCUGUUUCCCUCAGGAAGCCCACUGUUUAGGAAGGAGGGGCCCGGUGCCCGGAGAGAGGCAACAGGAAGUCACCUCACAGGAAACAAAGCAUAUCAUUUAUGGCGCUUUAUUCACGUUAAAGCAUUGCCGGACUGCUUCACAAGCUCCCAGAGACUGGUAACAUGUCACUUGUAG